UCCCUCAUGCUUCUCUUUGGGUCCUCGUUAUUUCAGAGACAAAGCUCUUUUUUUCCACAGAGGUAGCCUGUAAAAGCCUCCAAAGUCCCUCUCUUUCUUUUCUAAUAAAAAGCUCCCUACAAGAAGACAACAUCAUCCCUCCAAAACCUACCAGCCUUUUCAUUAUUUUAUUCUUCAAAUGACCUGUCUAUCAUGUGCUUUUCCACAUUUAUGUCUGUGUUAUCUUUUCUCUUGCCUCCAUCCACUUCCUUAGUGUGUGGUCUUGUGUGCUAGCUUGUAAGUAUGAAGAGAGUGAUAAUAUUGAGAACCUGAGUACCUUGCAGCCUCGUUGUGUUUUGAUUGUUGAAUCAUGACUCAGAUAUAGAGGAUCCUUGAAAGAAGGAAAAGGGGUGUUUGGAAUGAAGUUUGAUCCAAGAUCCUUGUAUCUCCCGUUCAUUUAGUCCAUGUUACUGCUAGGUUUCGCUAUGAAUCGAUCAGCGUAUACACAGCAGCUACGAGCUAGGCCUUUUGUUCAGAUUUUAGCUUCAAUAUAGAGUGAGCGCUAGUGAUAGAGUUUGAUUCAAGAUCCAUCUCAUGUGUGCUAGCUAGCUUUUAAAAUUUUAAUUAUAUCCCUACUUCCUGUUAAUUCUUAGGUUUUUUCUUGCAAGUUCUUAUAUUUGGUAAACAUCAUGAACUGAUCUCGGACCAGGCUUCAUUCCUUACACCGAACCUUUCCUCUGGCUGAUUACAAGACCCUAAUUAUAAGCUCUUUCCUGUCCAACCUAGAGAAUUCUCCAGGUGACAAAAAGAUUCGCAGACAAACAAUACAAGACAUGUACGAAUGAUGCUUUAAUUUAUUAAAAACAUAUAGAUAAUGUCAAGUACAUAUGAAUAUAUUCACACGCGCGCGCGCGCACCCACACACCUCUCUCCUUAAUUUCCUGUUUGGAAGUUUGUAUCAAGUUUAAUUUGCUUCUUGGUGUUUUUACCCUUCAACACGCCUGUACCCCUGCUAAAAAUCUUUGAUUCUUGGUCUGUUUCACCGAGUUCUGCAUGGAUCUCAUACAGAUAAACCCCGUAGCGUGUCCCUGGAAGCAUAUCCCUACAUAUCUGGGUUUAUAUACAUGCAGACAGGCUCUAUAUAUAUGAUCAGUAUGUCCUUGCAUAUGAAAACACUCACAGAUAGUUUAUUACAUGUGGCCAUAUACAAUUUUUCUUUUUUUCUUUUUUUGAUGAAUGUGAUCGGAUCUUAUGAAUUAUGAUUAAUAAGAAGAUUCCGUGCAAGAGAGCGAUACAUUAUGGCUAAAAUUAACAAGGGGCCAUAUCUAUAUUUUUGCUGUAAAAUAUUAUGUGACAAUUAAUUUAAUUCAUUUUCAACAGAUUUAUCUGCAAUUAUUGUUUUUUUGGACGAAAAUGCAAUUAUUGCUUGUUUCAUUAUCUUUAAUGCUCAGUUUAUACAUCAUCUGCAAAAUAAUAUACGUUGCACUAUCAUAUAGUUACGACGACAAAAUCUUGUUUUAGGGCACAAGGAGACUCGUUUUCUACGCAUAUGAUUUAGCAUUUUUGUUGUUUUUCUGCUACUAAUCACAUCACUCAUAUACAGAACCGAUUUUGUCAUUAACAUAUAAUUUAUUCAAAGUGGUGAUCUUGAGGUGAUGUUUUGAUUAGAAAAUACAGUGCUAUGCUCUUCAAUUAUGGGACAAGAUAUGACUGAUUUGAUUUGCUAAAAUGCUAGGGAGGGGAUUAUAUUAUGUUAUAUAUCGAGAACCUUUUUUAUUUAUUUAUUAAUGUAUAAUUAAUUAGAUGAAUAUUACAAUGAAAAGAUUUCUUGUUAGUGUGCCAAUGCAUUACCAACAAAGGAAACAGAGAAAAGUAAAGGAACUAUCACAUCAUGUUUGUAUAUUGAAUUCUACCAUAUACAUACAGCAAUUUUAA